UCUUCUGCGCAGAGACGGAAAGACAGAGAGGACUGAGCAAGGGCGUCCGGUCCCCACGGCCGAGCCGAGCCCCCCGCGCGUCCUUUCUGGGCUUCACUCCUGUUGUCACUGAGGGCCAGCGACUCCCUGCCCCCGGAUGUCCAGACAAAGAACCUCGACUCAAGGCUCCAGGUGGAUUCCAAUGCAAAGAGGAGCACCGAUGUGUGUGCGCAUGUCUGUGAAACAGAAAACCUACCAUCUUCGAGAACAAGGGCAUCGGAGAGAGAGCUGUCUUCACUGGCGAUAUUUCCAUCUGGAAGCCACAAAAACAGAAAGUCCUGAGGUUAGCACAUUCUAGAAACAAAACCCUUUCUGUAGAAAGCGUUUACCACCACGCAGCCUCUUCUUCCCUAUCGGAGCUCAGAGCUGUCUGAAAUCGCUGCUGGGCGUUUGACUGCCCCACAGCGCGUGCUUAGCUCGCCCUGCCUGCCCACCCCACAUCACAAUGGGCACGCUGUUUGUGUCUCUCUGCUUUUAUUUAUGGGAUACUGCAGCGCAAAGCAACCGACUGUCUAAUACAAAGGCUGCAGGCCUGGGUAAGCCCUGUCAUUGUCACAGUGAAGACUCAGGGCAUGUGACGACUGGACCACAGCAAGGCGAUUGCUGUUUAUUCUGCAGAUGGGAAGCCAGGGCAGGAACUGAGAAUGCUCACAUGGCAAUAAAGGGCUUCUCAGAAAACUCCUGAAGAGAAGACAAGACCUCUCUGGAGCUUAUCUCCAUAGUGCUUAGUCAGCACUGGUCCUGAGGGACACAGCGGGACAACCCUCCUCCUCCCACCAUGGGGGAAACUGAGGCGCGCCCAGGAGGAGGCUCUGUGUGAAGCUGCACUGCUCUCACAGCAAAGUUAGCCAAGGUCCUCAGGCUUUGGAGUCCAAGCCAGGGUUUUACUUUUUGAAAUAAAAAGCCACGCAAGGGAACUAAGAAGAAC